GGACCGCUGCUCGAUCUGUGGCGAAAGGCCUAUGAAUCCGGGCAAUCGUGCGAGAUCGCCGGGGAUUCGAUUCCGGCGCGGUCCG
rnacentral:tRNA from 1 species